rnacentral:rRNA from 1 species
GCCAAACAGCUAGCUCAAUUACCCAAUAACUAAACAGUAUAAAUAAAACAAAAUAAGCCUAACACCAAAAAUUAAAUCAUUCUUUUACCUUAGUAUGGGCGACAGAAAAGGUUACACCUGGAGCAAUAGAAAAAGUACCGCAAGGGAAAGCUGAAAGAGAAAUGAAAUAACUUAUAUAAGCACCAAAAAGCAAAGAUUAAAUCUUGUACCUUUCGCAUCAUGAUUUAGCCAGUAUAUCCAAGCAAAGAGACCUUUAGUUUGAAGCCCCGAAACCAAGUGAGCUACCCCGAGACAGCCUAUUAAGGGCCAACCCGUCUCUGUGGCAAAAGAGUGGGAAGAGCUCCGGGUAGAGGUGACAGACCUACCGAACUUGGUGAUAGCUGGUUGCCUAAGAAGUGAAUAGAAGUUCAGCCUCGUACUCCCUGAAUCAAAAGAUAUAAAAAGAUAUUAGAGGGAAAUAUAUGAGAGUUAGUUAAAGGGGGUACAGCCCCUUUAACAAAGGACACAACCUUUCCAGGAGGAUAAAGAUCAUAAUACAUAAGACAUCCUGUUCUAGUGGGCCUAAAGGCAGCCAUCUAAACAGAAAGCGUUAAAGCUCAGACAGAAAUAAGUUUAUUAUUCCGACAAGAAAUCUUACUCCCCUAAAUAUUAUUAGGCCAGCCCAUGCCCACAUGGGAGAGACUAUGCUAAAAUGAGUAACAAGAAGGCCAGCCCUUCUCCAAGCACAAGUGUAAGCCAAACCGGACCGACCAUUGGCAAUUAACGAACUCAACCCGAGAGAGUAAUGUGUAUUACAACGAAACCAGGAAGAACCCACAAUUAACCCAUCGUUACCCCCACACUGGCGUGCUAUUAAAGGAAAGACUAAAAGAAGGGAAAGGAACUCGGCAAACACAAGCCUCGCCUGUUUACCAAAAACAUCGCCUCCUGCAACACAACCAAGUAUAGGAGGUCCAGCCUGCCCAGUGACUACAAGUUCAACGGCCGCGGUAUUUUGACCGUGCAAAGGUAGCGCAAUCACUUGUCUCUUAAAUGGAGACCUGUAUGAAUGGCUAAACGAGGGCUUAACUGUCUCCCCCCUCCAGUCAGUGAAAUUGAUCUACCCGUGCAGAAGCGGG